UGUCCCAGGGGGCAUUGUGCUCAGGUAUAGAUCAUUAAGUGGUUCUGUUUCUGGGGGGGCAUUGUGCUCAGGUAUAGAUAAUUAAGGGUUGUUUACCGCCAUUGGGCUGCACUCAGAUGCACAGUAGGUUAGCAGCUCAUACAUGGUAACUCCAAAUGACCAAACAUCUGAAGCAAUGUAAAACUUGCACUGAAGCAAACAUUCUGGGGCGUACC